rnacentral:piRNA from 1 species
UGACGGAACAAAGUUAUUCUAAAAAGACAUUU